rnacentral:rRNA from 1 species
CGCAUCUGUGCAUGCAGCAUAUCAAUAAGCGGAGGAAAAGAAACUAACAAGGAUUCCCCUAGUAACGGCGAGUGAAGCGGGAAGAGCUCAAAUUUGAAAUCUUAAAGGGUUUCCCUUUACGAAUUGUAGUUUAAAGAAGUGUUUUCUGUUGAGGUUUUGGUAAAAGUUCUUUGGAAUAGGACAUCAUAGAGGGUGAGAAUCCCGUAUUUGACCUUUACUUUCAACUUUGUGAUACACUUUCAAAGAGUCGGAUUGUUUGGGAAUGCAGUCCAAAAUGGGUGGUAAAUUUCAUCUAAAGCUAAAUAUUGGCGAGAGACCGAUAGCGAACAAGUACCGUGAGGGAAAGAUGAAAAGAGCUUUGAAAAGAGAGUUAAACAAUACGUGAAAUUGUCAAAAGGGAAGCGUUUGACACCAGUGUUGUUUUUCUGAAAAUCAAUUAAAGAACUGUUUAUGCUAAGCUGUUUAGACUUUAUCAGCUAACUGUUUAGUUUUGAGCUUUUCUUUAAUGCACUCUUCAGUUAACAAGUCAACAUCAAUUUCUUUUGCUGUAAAAAAGCUUGAGGAAGGUGGCUUGAGAUUCGUCUUAAGUGUUUAUAGCCUCUUGCCUAUGCAGUCAGGAGAGAUUGAGGUCUGCAGCGUAGAUCCUUCGGGGCUAAAUGCAUUUGUGCUAAGUUAUAGCAUUUUAUAGACAACUUGUUGACUAUGAUUUGUCUUGUAGCUUACUCGCUUAUGUUAUUUUACCUACGCUUAGGAUGUUGAAUCUGUGCGAGACUAC